UAAAUUCCACCUCCGCCGGCGGAGCCUCUGUUGCCAAGACUGGAACGUCGUGAGGAGGGGAUGAUCUGCAGUUUGUGGAUUUUCCAACUUCUUUGACCGCACUCGGCCAUCACCUGUCUGCGCACCUGAACCCACUGAAGAUGCAACCCAGCGAGCUGGGUCUACUCAACCCUCGGACAUUGAACCUGUUGAACUUGCUGAAGUUAAAGCCCUCCCAGGAUGCAAGUGGUCCUAAAAACAGGUACUAUCUAGAAGUGAGCCAUCCAAGUUGUUGCCUUCAAGAUACUUGCACUCCCGGGGAGGAGAAAAAAUAAGCCAAUAAAUAAAUAGUAAAACCAUAAAAACAUAAAGGAUGACAGCUUUGUUUCCC